GACGAACGCUGGCGGCGUGCCUAACACAUGCAAGUCGAACGGAAAGGCCCUGCUCUUGUGGCGUGCUCGAUUGGCGAACGGGUGAGUAACACGUGAGUAACCUGCCCUUGACUUUGGGAUAACUUCAGGAAACUGGGGCUAAUACCGGAUAGGAUCUCCUGCUGCAUGGUGGGGGUUGGAAAGUUUCGGCGGUUGGGGCUGGACUCGCAGCUUAUGCGCUUGUUUGUGAGGUAGUGGCUUACCAAGGCUGUGACGGGUAGGCCGCCUGAGAGCUUAGACGGCCACAAUGGUACUGAGGGACGCACCAGACGCGUACGGGAGGCAGCAGUGGGAAAUAUUACGCAAUAAGGGGGAGUCAGAGACAACAGCGCCGGGUGCGGAAUAACGGCUUACGAGUUAUAAACCGAUGUCGAAUGAAACGAGGCGGGAGUGACGGUAAUGGGUAAGAAAGCACCGGCUAACUACGUG
rnacentral:rRNA from 1 species